rnacentral:rRNA from 1 species
CCCUUAGAUGUUCUGGGCUGCACGCGCGCUACACUGAUGCGUUCAACGAGUCUGCCUUGGCCGAGAGGUCUGGGUAAUCUUGUGAAAGCGCAUCGUGAUGGGGAUAGAUUAUUGCAAUUGUUAGUCUUCAACGAGGAAUUCCUAGUAAGCGCGAGUCAUCAACUCGUGCUGAUUACGUCCCUGCCCUUUGUACACAGCGCCCGUCGCUCCUACCGAUUGAGUGAUCCGGUGAAUAAUUCGGACUGCGAAGGGCCCGGUUUCCGAGUCCUUUGUAGGAAGUUUAGUGAACCUUAUCACUUAGAGGAAGGAGAAGUCGUAACA